CCUGAUGGGGAUUGGUGCAGAGAAGCCACAUAACCAGUAGAAGGCAACUCCUACUUAGAUAACAGCAGGACCAUGAUGUCUUACAGGAGGCCUGGUAAACCAGCCUUUUAAAAUUCAGGCCUCUGCCACAGAUAAAGAGGGAACUGAAAAUCACCAUCAGGGCACCAUGUGUGACUGGUCCCCAGACAAAAUCUGUGUCUGACAUCUAAUCAGCAUGUCCUCUCUAUGACCCGCCCCCUACCCCACACAGGCUGACUCCCCGAUCUGUGAAUGUGGAACAGG